GCCGCUUUCGUCCUUGCCGAGUCUUAACAGGUCGACUUCACGAAAGGUGGAAGAGAAACCCGUCGGCGAGUGAGGCCGCUUCCACGCAGCCCGCCCGGAUCUGAGUUUGCGAGACUUUCAGAAGAGAAACGCUUCAGCCCGGCUUGUCGAAGGCGGCAAAUCCUUGCAGUCGAUGAAGAAGCGGAGGACGCGGGAGGGAAGGCCUAAAGAUCCCAAGACUCGCCGCCUCUGUUUUCCUCGCAAAUGUCUUACCGUUAAACCACGCGGACCGUGCAACAAGCCCAACUGUAGAGCCCGCCAACCGGUGCAGCCACAGGAGUCGCUUCGGCUGCCGAGAAAGCCGGCAAAUGAGGCCCUGCCAGAGAGGCGGGAGGCGGGGUCCUCUUUUCCGGCAGUUCCCGCCGAAGCGGGGGGAAAAGUUUCCCUUCGCUCGGCGGCAGUUCGGCUGGUCCCUCCAGCCCCGACCCGUAUCCCGCUGCAUCACAAAGAGGCUCCGGUGACCGCUCGACAGGCGGUGGCAGCUGGCGCGGCCUGGCGGAAAGCAAGCGCCGAAGCCGUCCGGAGUGGGCCGCCUUCGGUGGGGCUGCCCGCUUGAGACCGUCGGUGUUGCUGCUCCGAGGCCUUUCGGAACUUAUUUUUUUUCCCUAGACAUUGCUGCAAGAGAACCAGAUUAAGUCUAUAGUAGCCAAAAAUAUCAAAGAGUUUGAUAUUGCCUUUUCUGAUUUAUCAAAAGGAGCUGAAAAUGUGCUACCAGAUUCCUUCUGAUCAUUAGCUUUUUAAAACAUAGAUCUAACUGUACUGGUGUUCUUCGUUAAUUUUUAAUUUAAAGUGUUGAUCAAAAUGAGAUGGAAAUAGCUUGCAAUUCCCCUAACGUUCUUGAGAAGAACUUGAUCCAUACAAAGGCCAAAACACCAGCUAAAGAACUGGCAGCAGUGAUUUUGCAUUAUUGCAUAAUACAGCAAACGUCGCCUCUGCAAAAAAGCUGAAGAAACAGUGGACUAUCUGAUUAGCUGCUGCAAAAAGAUUGCACUGGCUACUAACAAUGGCAUGGCAAAAUAGCAACAAUAGCGCAUCGGAAUAUCUGCAAGAAAUACCAUUUGUCUGCAAGCAAGAAAUGGUGGACUCAUAAAAUAAACAACAACAUAAAAGAGC